AGAGAUGUGUGAUGACGCAUAUCAAUAAGCGGAGGAAAAGAAACUAACUAGGAUUCCCUCAGUAACGGCGAGUGAAGCGGGAAGAGCUCAAAUUUGAAAUCUUCAAGGUUCUACCUUGACGAAUUGUAGUUUAAUAGAAGUGUUUUCUGUUAGUAGAGUUGGCUAAAAGUUCUUUGGAAUAGGGACAUCAUAGAGGGUGAGAAUCCCGUAUUUGGUACCAUUCUUUCUAGCUGUGUGAUACACUUUCAACGAGUCGGAUUGUUUGGGAAUGCAGUCCAAAAUGGGUGGUAAAUUUCAUCUAAAGCUAAAUAUUGGCGAGAGACCGAUAGCGAACAAGUACCGUGAGGGAAAGAUGAAAAGAACUUUGAAAAGAGAGUUAAACAGUACGUGAAAUUGUCAAAAGGGAAGCGUUUGACACCAGUGUUGUUUUUCUCGAAAAUCAAUUACGAAAUGGGAUUUUGUGUUUGAGAAGUUAUGACUUCAUCGGCUUGCUUCUCUCUUUACGUACUUUUCUUAAUGCACUUUUCGUUUAACAAGUCAACAUCAAUUUCUUUUGUUGUAAAAGGGUCAUGAGGAAGGUGGCUUUCAUUUCGGAGAAAGUGUUUAUAGCCUUGUACCUCUGCAAUCGGAGAGAUUGAGGUCUGCAGCGUAGAUCCUUCGGGGUUAGAUACAUUUGUGCUAAGUUAUAGCUUUUUCAUAGACAACAUUGUUGACUAUGAUUAAGUCAUUGUAGCUUACUCGCUUAUGCUAUUUUACCUACGCUUAGGAUGUUGAAGAUGUAGCACAUCA
rnacentral:rRNA from 1 species